GACAGAGGUGCCGAGCGUUUAGGCGGAAUCACUGGGCUUAAAGCGUGUGUAGGCGGAUUUGUAAGUACCUUGUGAAAUCCCACGGCUCAACCGUGGAACUGCUCGGUAUACUGCUUAUCUUGAGCCACUUAGGGGCAGUCGGAACAGAUGGUGGAGCGGUGAAAUGCGUAGAUAUCAUCUGGAACGCCAAAGGUGAAAACAGGUUGCUGGGGGUGUGCUGACGCUGGAGACACGAAAGCCAGGGGAGCGAACGGG
rnacentral:rRNA from 1 species